ACACGACAGCUCACGGCAACGCCGGAUCCCAAACCCACUGGGCAAGGCCAGGGACCGAACCUUCAACCUCAUGGUUCCUAGUCGGAUUCGUUCACCACUGCGCCACCACUGGAACUCCGGUAUCGUUUCUUAAGAGAUGCCUUGCUUUCCUGGGAGUGUUCUUUGCCAGAGAGAAUUACAAAGAAGAGGAAAGACUAAACCCUGGCCUCUUGUCAUUAGAGCCCCAGGUCGGCCUUCUCAAGCCUCAGCCCUUCCCAGGAUGGGGAAGACAAGACCAAGUUUCAGUAGCGACGAGAGAGGUCGGAUGAUCCUGUCUGAGAGAUGAAGAAAUGCAUGUAAAUCCUAGGUUUGAACCCAGGUAUUGCAGGGACAGCCUGAAGGGAAGGUGUCCUUCGGAAAGCCCUCCUGUACCGGUGUCUCCCUCUCAGGAAAGUGCAUCACAGUCUAAAAGUGAUGAUAACGUGGUUGGUCACUGCACUUCAAAAUCAAUAACUGCCUUUCUCUUUUUCCUCACUGGACCGAAGCAAUUCACUUAAGCAGCCUGGGCCACAGUUCAUGACUAAGGAUGACACAGUUAUCUAAAUGCCGCAGUUUGACCUGCUGCUUUAGCGGUCUCAUCUGGGCGGGGAGAUGGUUGCUUGGACACAUGUUGGUUGCUUCUGUCCAGGGCUGACAAGAAAGCCCUAAAAGGUGUAGAUGGGGAGGGGGUUGGGGGCUAUGACAGCAAAGAGCAGGAGUUCCCAGCUGUUGAUGGAGCGGGGAAGGGCUGGUGGGCAAAAAACAAUCCCUCUGGCAGAGAAGGUGAGUUCGGGGUGUGUGUAGACGGCGGCCACUCAAACUAGGCGCUGGUGGAGCUCUAAGUUGUCAUGGUGUUUUUGGAGGACACGUUGGUCAUCUACAAGUUAGAGUCAGACUGGAACACGUGCAGACCCUGUGAUUCAGCCGUUCAAGGUCGCGGAAAUGGCCCUUGGAAGUGCUCACACCAAGCGAAGGAUGCUCUUUGCUUUACUCUCUGGAUGACCAUGAAGAGAUCUGCUGGGUGCAAUGAGAAGUACUGGCACCAAACAGUAAUGUAACUGCAUUGGUUUCGCUGCCGUCCACCGCUUCCUGCCGUCCCGUCUGCUUGUCUUCGUAAUGCCAAGUCUACCUUCCAUCAAGUGGGUGUUGGUAUCAAUGGUGCUUCGCAUUUUAGGAGCCGUCCAUCUUUGAGGAUGCGGCCGUGGCCUCGCCGAGGAGGAGCUGGGGCUGCUGGGCCCCGCCCGGAGGAGACUGUACCCGGAAGUGAUGCUGGAGACCUUCUGGAACGUGGUCUCUGUGGGCGAGGGGGACCUCUAGGUAAUUGGAGCUUAGCUUAUUGGAGUCUUGCCCCCUGAAGAGAGGCUGGUUUUGGUCUUUGUGUGCCGGUUAAAUCCUUUUUAUGUAGAGCUGUUCUAACAUACUUUUGUUUAGCCCGGCCUGCAUCCUUUCCAGGUCUGUCCUUCAAAGGCCUGAAAGUCUUGGGGUUAGGGCUGCAUUUUUCAGAUUUUUUUUUUUUUUAAAUAAUGAGCCUUACUUAGUCUUGAGUUUUCUUGCGAUUUCAGGGCAACCACCUCUCAAGCCUGGUAACAUAGCCCGUUUGGGACAAGACACAGAAACUCCAAGACAGGCACAUCCAGGUGAGAACCACGGAGCCUGGAGUCCUGGCCAGGCAGCCAGGGGUGAGCUUGCCACGCACAGGCCGAUCCCCACCCUGACCUUGACUGUGGAUACGGCAGGUACCACAGUAGGUGACUGUUGUGCGGCCUCAUUUCUCUGACUCAGUCCUGACCUUCUCGUCGUUCCGUCACGCUUUCCAGAGAGUGACAGACCCAGAGCGGGAGAGGGGGUCUCUGGACUUUCUCCCGUUGAUAGUAAGAGACAGGCAGUGGAAGACAAGCAAGCCUGGGGCAGAGAGACUCUUCCAGAAGGUUGAGAGGUCACGGAUUUCUCACUUAACUUGGGUCCUGCAAGUUCGUGUCUAGAAACGGGUUCCUGUUACCUCAGCCUUAAAAGAUAAAAAUAGCCGAAAAGAAUAUCGGAGAGCAGGGACACAUUUUUAAAACCAUGUGGAGGGAGCUCUGAGGUAAAUAUGACAAUGUACUGACUCAGCAUCAGUGACAGGGAUGCACUGAGAUUUUUACGUCUCCAGACCUCAUCCCUGUCACCUGGAUUCCUGUGGCAUAUGCUCGCAGGAGCCACAGACGGAGCAUUUUGCAGGAUUUGGUGCUUUGCUCCCAUCCCAGGUUCAGAUCAUACGUACUCAGAAUCAGCGUAACCCUGGGGGGCAGUGUGGUGAGAGUGCCCACCAGGUGUGGGCUCUAAAACCAGACCAGUGUGCUGGGAUCCCGGCACCCCGCUUCCUCACUGCUCCAUGGAGCAGCGUAACUAGGCCACAUACCGUCUCUGUGCCCAGGUUUCCCCCUCUGUAACAUGAGGGUUAUAAUGAAUCCCACCUCCACGGUAUUCGGAGGGUGAAAUAAGUUCAUGUAUGUACCUCUGCGGCACCUGGGAAGUAUUAUAAUAGUGUCAUAUCAUCAUCAUCGACAUCAGCAUUAUUAAGUAAAGAAGUAAAUUUUUAGGUGUAAAAUACUGUUAAGAAUUUUUCUUUUUUUCUGGGCAGUUCUAUGAUGACACAUAGUCUGCUACUAAUAGGAUCCUAUUAACAUUUAGCCUCAAAGCUUAUUAGCAGGAGCCUCUUCCUGGGAGUUCCCUUCGUGGCUCAGCAGUUAAUGAACCCAACGAGGAUCCAUGAGGAUGCGGG